AGCAGCCGCGGUAAUUCCAGCUCCAAUAGCGUAUAUUAAAGUUGUUGCAGUUAAAAAGCUCGUAGUUGAAUUUCGGGAUCAAAUUGUCGGUCGUGCCUCGGUACGUACUGGUAUUAUUGGUUCCUCCCUUCUGACGAACCACGAUGUCAUUAAUUUGGUGUCAUGGGAAAUCAGGACUGUUACUUUGAAAAAAUUAGAGUGUUUAAAGCAGGCUCGCGCUUGAAUACAUUAGCAUGGAAUAAUGAAAUAGGACGUUUGAUUCUAUUUUGUUGGUUUCUAGGAUCGACGUAAUGAUUAAUAGGGAUAGUUGGGGGCGUUAGUAUUCAAUUGUCAGAGGUGAAAUUCUUGGAUUUAUUGAAGACUAACUACUGCGAAAGCAUUUGCCAAGGAUGUUUUCAUUAAUCAAGAACGAAAGUUAGGGGAUCGAAGACGAUCAGAUACCGUCGUAGUCUUAACCAUAAACUAUGCCGACUAGGGAUCGGAUGAUGUUAAUUUUUUAAUGACUCAUUCGGCGCCUUAC
rnacentral:rRNA from 1 species